rnacentral:rRNA from 1 species
GAUGAACGCUGGCGGCGUGCCUAAUACAUGCAAGUCGAGCGAAUGGAUUAAGAGCUUGCUCUUAUGAAGUUAGCGGCGGACGGGUGAGUAACACGUGGGUAACCUGCCCAUAAGACUGGGAUAACUCCGGGAAACCGGGGCUAAUACCGGAUAACAUUUUGAACCGCAUGGUUCGAAAUUGAAAGCCGGCUUCGGCUGUCACUUAUGGAUGGACCCGCGCCGCAUUAGCUAGUUGGUGAGGUAACGGCUCACCAAGGCAACGAUGCGUAGCCGACCUGGGAGGGUGAUCGGCCACACUGGGACUGAGACACGGCCCAGACUCCUACGGGAGGCAGCAGUAGGGACUCUUCCGCAAUGGACGAAAGUCUGACUGAGCAACGCCGCGUGAGUGAUGAAGGCUUUCGGGUCGUAAAACUCUGUUGUUAGGGAAGAACAAGUGCUAGUUGAAUAAGCUGGCACCUUGACGGUACCUAACCAGAAAGCCACGGCUAACUACGUGCCAGCCGCCGCGGUAA